GACGAACGCUGGCGGCGUGCUUAACACAUGCAAGUCGAACGGAAAGGCCUGCUUUCCCUUGUGGAUUGCGGGUACUCGAGUGGCGAACGGGUGAGUAACACGUGAGUUAUCUGCCCCCAACUUAGGUAUAAGCCUGGGAAACUGGGUCUAAUUACCGAUAGGACUGCAGGGUGGUGCCUGUGGUGGAAAACGAUUUUCUAGUGGGUGGGGAUGAGCUCGCGGCCUAUCAGCUUGUUGGUGGGGUAAUGGCCUACCAAGGCGGCGACGGGUAGCCGGCCUGAGAUGGUGGACGGCCACACUGGGACUGGGAUACGGCCCAGACUCCUACGGGAGGCAGCAGUGGGGAAUAUUGCGCAAUGAGCGGAAGCCUGAUGCAGCGACGCCGCGUGGGGGAUGACGGCGUUCGGGUUGUAAACUCCUUGCGACCGCGAGGAAGCCACCUGGUUGGAGGGGUGGUGACGGUAGUGGUAGAAGAAGCACCGGCUAACUACGUG
rnacentral:rRNA from 1 species